UACGUAGGGGGCAAGCGUUGUCCGGAAUCAUUGGGCGUAAAGAGCUCGUAGGCGGCUGUUCAAGUCGAACGUGAAAACUCGGAGCUCAACUCCGAGCCUGCGUUCGAUACUGGACGGCUAGAGUCUGGUAGGGGGAUCUGGAAUUCCUGGUGUAGCGGUGGAAUGCGCAGAUAUCAGGAGGAACACCGAUGGCGAAGGCAGUGUUCUGGGCCAGUACCGACGCUGAGGAGCGAAAGCGUGGGGAGCAAACAGG
rnacentral:rRNA from 1 species